rnacentral:rRNA from 1 species
GAACUGAAGAGUUUGAUCCUGGCUCAGAUUGAACGCUGGCGGCAUGCUUUACACAUGCAAGUCGAACGGCAGCACGGGGGCAACCCUGGUGGCGAGUGGCGAACGGGUGAGUAAUGCAUCGGAACGUAUCCUUAAGUGGGGGAUAACGCAUCGAAAGAUGCGCUAAUACCGCAUAAUCUCCGAGGAGAAAAGCAGGGGAUCGCAAGACCUUGCGCUUUUGGAGCGGCCGAUGUCUGAUUAGCUAGUUGGUGAGGUAAAGGCUUACCAAGGCUUCGAUCAGUAGCUGGUCUGAGAGGACGACCAGCCACACUGGGACUGAGACACGGCCCAGACUCCUACGGGAG